rnacentral:rRNA from 1 species
GAUGAACGCUGGCGGCGUGCCUAAUACAUGCAAGUCGAGCGAAUGGAUUAAGAGCUUGCUCUUAUGAAGUUAGCGGCGGACGGGUGAGUAACACGUGGGUAACCUGCCCAUAAGACUAGGAUAACUCCGGGAAACCGGGGCUAAUACCGGAUACCAUUUUGAACCGCAUGGUUCGACAUUGAAAGGAGGCUUCGGCUCUCACUUAUGGAUGGACCCGCGUCGCAUUAGCUAGUUGGUGAGGUAACGGCUCAACAAGGCAACGAUGCGUAGCCGACCUGAGAGGGUGAUCGGCCACACUGGGACUGAGACACGGCCCAGACUCCUACGGGAGGCAGCAGUAGGGAAUCCUCCGCAAUGGACGAAAGUCUGACGGAGCAACGCCGCGUGAGUGAUGAAGGCUUUCGGGUCGUAAAACUCUGUUGUUAGGGAAGAACAAGUGCUAGUUGAAUAAGCUGGCACCUUGACGGUACCUAACCAGAAAGCCACGGCUAACUACGUGCCAGCCGCCGCGGUAA